UCAGUAACACGUAGUCAACCUAACUCAUGGAGGGGGAUAAUCUCGGGAAACUGAGGAUAAACCCUCAUAGAUAAUGGUGCCUGGAAUGGCCCAUUGUUGAAACAGUUUACUGCCAUGGGAUGGGACUGCGGCCUAUCAGCUUGUUGGUGAGGUAAUGGCCCACCAAGGCUAUAACAGGUACGGGCUCUGAGAGGAGAAGCCCGGAGAUGAGUACUGAGACACGGACCCAGGCCCUAUGGGGCGCAGCAGGCGAGAAACCUUAGCAAUGUGCGAAAGCACGACUGGGUCAGUCCGAGUGAUUUCUGAUAAAGGAAUCUUUUGCCCGUUGUAAACGCACGGGCGAAUAAGGGGUGGGCAAGUCUGGUGCCA
rnacentral:rRNA from 1 species